UGUUGAUCUAGAUUAGAUCUAGAAGCUUUGUGCUUUUAUGGCUUACAAUUGGACAUUCGGUUUUAAUAAAAAUAAGAGUGGAAAAGAUUUUUUUUAGUGUAUAAAUUAUUUUUCUGAAAUUCUUAAAUUCCAAACAAUGGAAAAAAUUAAAAAUAAAUUCAAUUGAUUCAGUACGCGAAUAGAUAUCAACUCUCUAAGAUGCGUUUAGAUGUCGGAAUAUGUUUGGCCUUUGCCGUAUUUCUGGGGAUUGGCAGUGAAGCAUCCACAUUUUCGGGAAUCUACAAGCAUCCAUGGGACACCAGGAAGUGUUUUUACAAAGGACGGGCCAUACAUAUGGGUCAUACUUGUCGUCCCUUUUCUAUGGGAAAAAAUUGUUGGAUAGCAACAUGUUACAAAAACAGUGUCAUAAAAGGUGUCUCAUGCAGUCCUAUUGAAGUACCCCCUGGAAAAAAACUCGGCCGCUACUUAGACCCCGAUACUAUAUAUCCCUACUGUUGUGAGCGAGAGAUUAUAAAUGGAUAGGCAAAAAGGCCAUAUUUUUUGUUUUAACUAUCUUAGAAAAGAUUAAAAUAAAAACAUUUUGAAUAUUUCUCACGAAAACGAAAUAACCUUGAACUACUUAGCACUGGCAAGGUUUUUGUUUAGUGUAUAAAUUUUUUUCCUUGCAUCUAAGACUCAGAUUACUAGAUUCAAACCUAUUUGUAGACAAUUGAAAAAAUUUAAAAUUAAAUAAAUUCAAUUGAUAAAGUA